GUAGGUGGCAAGCGUUGUCCGGAAUUAUUGGGCGUAAAGCGCGCGCAGGCGGUCCUUUAAGUCUGAUGUGAAAGCCCACGGCUCAACCGUGGAGGGUCAUUGGAAACUGGGGGACUUGAGUACAGAAGAGGAAAGCGGAAUUCCAAGUGUAGCGGUGAAAUGCGUAGAGAUUUGGAGGAACACCAGUGGCGAAGGCGGCUUUCUGGUCUGUAACUGACGCUGAGGCGCGAAAGCGUGGGGAGCAAACAGGGAUUAGAUACCCUGGUAGUCCACGCCGUAAACGAUGAGUGCUAAGUGUUAGGGGGUUUCCCGCCCCUUAGUGCUGCAGCUAACGCAUUAAGCACUCCGCCUGGGGGGUACGCCGCAAGGCUG
rnacentral:rRNA from 1 species